GACGAACCGUGCGAACGUUGUUCGGAAUCACUGGGCUUAAAGGGCGCGUAGGCGGGCUCGCCAGUCAGGGGUGAAAGCCCACGGCUCAACCGUGGAAGUGCCUUUGAUACUGCGAGUCUCGAGCGAGGUAGGGGCGUGCGGAACUUCCGGUGGAGCGGUGAAAUGCGUAGAUAUCGGAAGGAACACCGGUGGCGAAAGCGGCGCGCUGGACCUCUUCUGACGCUGAGGCGCGAAAGCCAGGGGAGCAAACGGG
rnacentral:rRNA from 1 species